GUGGGGAAUAUUCCGCAAUGGACGAAAGUCUGACGGAGCAACGCCGCGUGAGUGAUGAAGGUUUUCGGACUGUAAAGCUCUGUUGUUUAGGACGAAAGUGCCUGUUGCAAAUAGUUACAGGUAUUGACGGUACUGAACGAGGAAGCCACGGCUAACUACGUGCCAGCAGCCGCGGUAAUACGUAGGUGGCAAGCGUUGUCCGGAAUUAUUGGGCGUAAAGAGCAUGUAGGCGGGAGUCUAAGUCUGUUGUGAAAAUGAGGGGCUCAACCCCGUAUGGCGAUGGAAACUUGGUUUCUUGAGUGCAGGAGAGGAAAGGGGAAUUCCCAGUGUAGCGGUGAAAUGCGUAGAUAUUGGGAGGAACACCAGUGGCGAAGGCGCCUUUCUGGACUGUGUCUGACGCUGAGAUGCGAAAGCCAGGGUAGCGAACGGGAUUAGAAACCCUGGUAGUCC
rnacentral:rRNA from 1 species